rnacentral:rRNA from 1 species
UACGUAGGGGGCGAGCGUUGUCCGAAGUUACUGGGCGUAAAGCGCGCGUAGGCGGUUUCUUAAGUCUGAGGUGAAAGGUUCAACGCUUAACGUGAACAGUGCCUUGGAUACUGGGAGACUUGAGUGUGGCAGAGGAUAGUGGAAUUCCUGGUGUAGCGGUGAAAUGCGUAGAUAUCAGGAGGAACACCCAUGGCGAAGGCAGCUAUCUGGGCUAACACUGACGCUGAGGUGCGAAAGCGUGGGGAGCGAACGGG